rnacentral:rRNA from 1 species
UGGGGAAUAUUGGACAAUGGGGGAAACCCUGAUCCAGCAAUGCCGCGUGUGCGAUGAAGGCCUGCGGGUUGUAAAGCACUUUCGUUGGGGAAGAAAUUCUCAAGUAUAAUACAUUUGAGAGCUGACGUUACCCAAAGAAGAAGCACCGGCAAACUCUGUGCCAGCAGCCGCGGUAAUACAGAGGGUGCAAGCGUUAAUCGGAGUUACUGGGCGUAAAGGGCGCGUAGGCUGGUAUUUAAGUCGAUUGUGAAAUCCCUGGGCUUAACCUAGGAAUUGCAGUCGAUACUGAAUAUCUUGAGUAUGGUAGAGGAAAGUGGAAUUCUCGGUGUAGUGGUUAAAUACGUAGAUAUCGAGAAGAACACCGGUGGCGAAGGCGACUUUCUGGACCAAUACUGACGCUGAGGCGCGAAAGCGUGGGGAGCAAACA